UGUUCAGUCUGUGACAGAAGGUGCGGACUGGUAGCAUUCCAGGCUGGCAACCUGGCAAUGCCAUCUGCUGACUGUCUCUACCAAGGCGACUGAAACAUACACAGAAACCUCCUUUUGUAACUGUGCACACCAACCAGGGAUUGGAACUGCUGCAAAAGAUUAAUGGGCGCCCGGGGCAGAAGAUUAGUGAGAUUUCAGCAGCCUGAGUAUUUGCUGAGUUCCUGACAGAGAGCAGGAAGAACUUCCGGCUUGCGAAGCUGUCACUGACGCCAUAUCCUGUGUCCCUUUAAGGAAGGCAUUCCAGUCUGUGACCCUCGCCUGAAGCAGAAUAUACACAGUGAAAAGAAGGCCUCUUCAGAGCCCUAUCCAGGACAUCAAUAAAUCAAUUUCAAGCUGACCAAGAGACUUUCUGCUGGAAGGUGCAACACAGGCUGGUGGGAGGGAGAAAAAAAGAUCAGCAGCCUUGCCCUGUGAGAACCAUGUUUGGUACAACAAAGACCUGCUAGGCAAUCAGUUCACGGUUCUCUGCCUAGAGCUUACAAAAGAGGAGCUGAACAACAUAUCAUAGAAGGCAUAACUCACUGGAGGGCUGUCAUAGCAUACCGGACAAUAAGAUCUGCAUGCUUUUCUGAAAGCAAGAUAAGGUCUGUCUGACUGAGGCCCUUUGACUUGGAGAACCAGACUUCUGUGCCCUAGCCUCUUGCUCCCGAAUUCCAGUUCUGCUGGCCUUGACAUUCAUUCCCCUCGUAAGGUUUCAAGAGAUGCUGAAGAUAUGUGAGCGAUACUGAAGAUGCAUGAGAGAUGCAGACAGCACAUGAGAGACGCAGAAGGCACAUAAGAAGUUUUGAAGAUACACGAGAGAUGCUGGAUACUCAUGGGAGAAGCUGCACCCAUGCGAGAGGUGCUGAAUGCAUGAAGCCCUUGGGCUGACUUCCAUCUGCACAUCGGCUUUGCCUGUUUCAAUCAGGCCGUUUCAGAACCCCCUUGGGCAAUGAGAAAAAUAUGACAAACUUUUCUCUUUCUGGGAUCCUUUCCCACAUUCCGAGUUCUACAUCUUCAUCACAAAUGAACGAAUGACUUGGCCGAAGUCCACGUACAUACAGUGUUGAUUUAUAACUGAUAAGCAAACCCAAAGGAGCCUCUGCUAGCCGACAAUGGUGACCAUGAGGUGUCUGAUCAAUAAUCAGCAAAGAUUAUUUUGCACUACAAGUGCCCUUUGGACUGGUGUGCCCAUGAACUAUCACAGCAUGGAUGAGAGGGUAAGGGUUAUCUGUGAACUAACAUUAUAUGAGAACUGCUCUGUCUGUGGCUGCUGCAGAAUUCCAAAGUGGAUUUUCUCUGAGGACUCCCUCUAUCGGAAGGAGAAAAGGAGUCAUUAAAUCUUGAAGAAGUGUGAGGAUUAAAGAUAGACUUAGGGACUACCGUAGGGUAGUCAUAGGGUAACCACACACCACCAUGAAAGGAUUGUGGAUCAGUGACCACACAUUAUUUCAAGAGGACUGAAGAUCAGUAAUCAAACACCACCUCAAGAGGACCAUGGGUCAGUCACCACAUUUGACCAUGAGAUGACUGUGGUUCAAUACCAGCGGUGAUGUUAGACAGAAGGCAUGUGACACAGGACUGAAAACUAUCUUUGCUCUUUGGGCAUCUUUUAUAGAUGUUUGUAAAUAAUGCCUUAUUCUCUACUUGAUUUUAUUUUAAAUCAAAAACCGAGUUUCAUUGCCGAAAGUCUUAGAGCUGUCAUAUUAACUUAAUUUAGAAACUGCUUGAAUGUAGCUAAUUUUUUUUCUGUUAAAAAGUAAUAAUGGUGGCUAAGUAAAAAGCUGGUUGUUUUAUAAUUCUUGCUUUAUAAAUCACAAAACAGUGAUAAACAGUGGGCAAACUCCCCAGUUUUAUCCUGUGCAACCUCAGUGUUCCUUAAACAACACCAAGCACCUCAGAUUUAGUGUCCUGGGAUCGAAGCAACACUUGCUUUCUGUCUCCCUGUCCUUUCUCCUUCCUUGCCUUCUUUCUUUUAUUUUCCACUUGUUAAUAUCCAAUUGAAGUUGCACAUAGUGCUCAUUGGGCAAUUAUUUUCUGUAAAAAAAGAGAAAACUAUCAUUUUGACUUACCCUUAAGGUACCAAGAUAAAUUGCAGAACCAUGUAAGGUUUAAACUGGCAUUUAGAGGAGCUGGAAAGAUGUUUCCAAAAUUUAAGGGCACUUGUUGUUUUUGCAGAGGAUUCAGAUAUGAUUCUUAGAACCUACAUUACAUGGUGGCUCACAACAAUCUGUAUCUCUAGUUCCAGAGUCUCUCACACGCACUCCUGACUUCUGUGGGUACUGCAGGCACAGGGUGCACAUACAUGCGGGCAGGCAAAACACUCA
rnacentral:sRNA from 1 species